rnacentral:tRNA from 1 species
UGGCAUAUAGCUCAAUGGUAGAGUAGAGGACUGUUAAUCCUUUGGUUGUAGGUUCGAGUCCUACUAUGCCAG